ACUAUAGCAAAGAGGAUACACCUGUUCCCAUUCCGAACACAGAAGUUAAGCUCUUUAGCGCCGAUGGUACUUGGUGGGAAGCUGCCUGGGAGAGUAGGACGUAGCC
rnacentral:rRNA from 1 species